GCGUCCCCGACAUGGUCGUCU
rnacentral:miRNA from 1 species